GGAAAACUGGAGGAGUGGAGAGGAAGAUAUAACGGGGGAGUGUGCACUGUGCAGUUGACUACAGAGAGAGAGGAGAGCAAGAGACAGAGAGAGAGAGAGAGAGAGAGAGAGAGAGAGAGAGAGAGAGAGAGAGAGAGAGAGAGAGAGAGAGAGAGAGAGAGAGAGAGAGAGAGAGAGAGAGUGGGAGAGAGAGCAGCUCGCCGGCCCAUUGAGGAAAGAUGGCUACAGUCACUGCAAACGGAGUGCAGCAAGAGAAUGGAUUCAGCACCACGAACAGCGCCGGCAGGAUGAACGGGCUUACCAUCGGCCAGAACACCAUUCCAAUGAAGGACCACGACGCCAUCAAGCUUUUCAUCGGGCAGAUUCCCAGAAACCUGGAGGAAAAAGACCUGAAACCCCUGUUUGAGGAAUUCGGAAAGAUAUACGAACUCACUGUACUGAAAGACAGGUUUACGGGAAUGCAUAAAGGAUGUGCCUUUCUAACAUACUGUGCCAGAGAGUCAGCACUGAAGGCCCAGAGCGCCCUCCAUGAACAGAAGACUCUGCCAGGGAUGAACCGGCCCAUCCAGGUGAAGCCAGCCGACAGCGAAGGACGAGGAGAAGACAGGAAGCUGUUUGUGGGAAUGCUCGGCAAGCAGCAGAGCGAGGACGACGUCCGGCGGCUGUUCGAGACCUUCGGCCAGAUCGAGGAGUGCACCGUCCUGCGUGGGCCUGAUGGGGCCAGUAAGGGCUGCGCCUUUGUCAAGUUCUCCAGCCACGCAGAAGCGCAGGCAGCCAUCAACAGCUUGCAUGGGGGACAGACUAUGCCUGGUGCCUCGUCCAGUCUGGUGGUCAAAUUUGCAGACACUGAUAAGGAAAGGACUCUGCGCAGGAUGCACCAGAUGGCGGGCCAGCUCGGCAUCUUCAGUCCCAUGACCAUCCAGUUUGGGGCCUAUGGCGCCUACUCUCAUGCUGUAAGUCUCAGCCCGGCGGGGGAGGAGACGCAGAUGAUGCAACAGCAAGCAGCCCUGAUGGCAGCAACGCAAGGGUCCUACCUGAACCCCAUGGCAGCCAUCGCUGCCGCGCAAAUGCAGCAAAUGGCAGCUUUCAAUGUCAACGGCCUGGUGGCUACUCCCAUGACACCGUCCUCAGUAUAUCUAUUUGCAGGCACCAGCACACCCCCGGGCAUCUCUGCCACAGCCGUGCCCAGCAUAGCCACCCCUAUCGGGGUCAACGGAUUCAGUGCCCUCCCGCCUCAAAGCAAUGGGCAGUCCGCCUCUGAGCCCAUCUACACCAAUGGUAUCCACCCUUACCCAGCACAGAGUCCAACGGUGACCGACCCUCUCCAACAGGCUUAUGCUGGCGUCCAACACUACGCAGCAGCCUACCCUGCCGCCUAUGCGCCAAUCAGCCAAGCGUUCCCACAGCAACCAACCAUCAUUCCCCAGCAACAGAGGGAAGGGCCAGAAGGCUGCAACCUGUUUAUUUAUCACCUGCCCCAGGAGUUCGGAGAUGCAGAACUCAUGCAAAUGUUCCUGCCUUUUGGCAACGUCAUCUCUGCCAAAGUCUUUGUGGACCGAGCGACCAAUCAGAGCAAAUGUUUUGGCUUUGUGAGUUUUGAUAACCCGUCCAGUGCUCAAGCCGCUAUUCAGGCCAUGAACGGCUUUCAGAUAGGCAUGAAGAGGCUGAAGGUGCAGCUAAAGCGGCCAAAGGAUGCCAACCGACCUUACUGACUCGUCUGCUGUCCAUACCCAGUGUGAGGUGGCCUUUCUCCGCUAUAGCCACACCCCCCCACCCACACACCUGUCAUGGGGCCAAGUUCCCACAGCUGAUGAAGGGCCACAACACCUUAUUUCCACAAGUGCAGUAAAAGUACAAAGACUUCUUGCUCUGCUACAUAUCAUGAAGGAAGCGUGGUCCCUUGAUCCUGCUGGAAACCCACUGAAAGAUUGGGUGACUGAGAGAGGGAUCCCAGAGUUGUUUUUUUGUUUGUUUUGUUUUUUGUCUUUUCUUUCUUCGCAAAUGCCUCUUUUUUCCCUGUUUUGCUUUGGCGUCUGUGAAAGAAGAUUUUUUGCAGAGACCAACUUUUUGCUGCUGUUUUUUAGACAUGAUGGGAAGAAAAAAAAAAACCUUUAUAGAAACUCAUUAUGCUCAAAGCAUGCAUACUGACACAGGAUAUAGAUAAACACACAAACACAUAACAAACCAAACAUACACAUUUAGAUGCUACACUUAAAAAAAGUGAAAAAUGAAAAAAAAAAACUUUGUACAUAAGUACGUGCAAAUGCCAACUCAAGUACUGACGCAAACACAUGCGUGCGCGCGCACACACACACACACACACACACACACACACACACAUAAACACACACCAGCCUGCUGCCAUUUUGGUUUUUGUGCCUACACAGGUGUUGUGCUCUGUGACAGGGCAAGCUCUGGAUCAAAGAAGAAAACGAGAAGAAGAGGAGAGAAGAGGAGAAUCCAGGAUAAUUUACAUGCAUCAUUCCUUAGGAAAUAGGGACCAAAGGACUAAACGCUUUUUAAAAGAAUAUAAAUAUAUAAAUAUAUAAAUAUAUAUUUAAAAACUCAUACCUUGUAGCUGCAAGUAUUACAAUUUACUCGUAGUAAAAAAAAUCAUUAAAAUCAAUAUCCAGUGGCCUACUGUAAGUACGAAUAAAAGAAAAUGGAAAUAAUGUAUUAAAAAAAAGACAUGGCAUCGUAGUAUAGGGGCUGAUCUUUUGCUCUGGAUGCUGAUUUAGCACCAGGUUGUAGAAUAGUAGAGUAGAAUAAAAUGUAGAUUUGCUAACUUUUGCUGUUGUUUAAAAAAAAUACUUGAAGUCGUAAUGAAAAGGGGGGCAAAAGGGGGGGAAGGAAAACAUUCAUCUGCCCCUGUACGCAACGAGUCUCUUUUUCUUGGAUGUUAAGGUAUCAGCCACUGGAUAUCUCGCUCAUCAUGAUGUAUAAGUCACCACACUCUCUGACAGCUAUGAACAGACUGUUCUGGAAGAAGAAGAAGAAAAAAGAAUGACAAGAGAAAAAAAAGACAUAACUUACUCAUGUCUGUGCUGGACAGGGUGCAGACAUUUAAGGCUUCUCACUAGCCUUCUGUGUUCAAGCGACAAUCCACUGUAAAGACCAAGCAAAAUGGACAUGGGGGUGUCUUUUGUUUUUUUCUGUUUUUUUUCUUGACCUUUUGUAUUGCAACAAGGAGUGUGAAUUAUGAAGUCACAAAUUGUUAAGGGGUGAGGGUUCUACUAAGAGAGAUGGACAAAUGCACGGUCAUGAGGGCAACAGAAAGGGAGGAGUAAGGUGACAGCUACUGAAACUGCCAGCAGAAUGAACUCAGUAUACAAAUGAAAAAGGCCCUUAUGGCAUUAUGGAAUUCUGUCAAAAAACAAAGUAUGCCCGUAAACAACCAGGACUUAUAUAAGUGACAUGCCAAGGAAAUGUGUUUCCACUGGAGCUGCUGCAAAACUCCAGAUUGAGAAAAAUUUCCUCUUGUCUCUCGGCAGAUACAAACAAACAUUUUUUUGAAGACAAACUCGAUUUACAGUAUUGAUGGCAAAGGAGUGCGGGCUUUUAGAGCUCAUUUAGCUCUGUCAAAUUUAAUGUAAAUUCCACUAUUAACAUGUUCCCUGACCUGCUUCUUCAUAUAUUAUACAUACAGCCUAUGGGGGAGAAAAAAAGCUACUGCUUAAACAGACUAUAUCUAAAUUAGAUAUAACAGUCACUCUUAGACAUCAUUCAGCUCGCUUGUAGCCUCUCUGACACUGACGCCAGGCAGGACAAAGUAAAGCACUCCGGUACUGUCACGUCUUGAUUUAGAAUCCUGUAGCCUUUAUUUUGACUGUUUUAGAGCUCUGGAUGCAGGCUCUUCUCUAAAAGCAGAUCAAUAUGUUUGGAAUGAGUCUAGAGGGAGGAGCGAUGCAGUUUUAGUCACUCUGAACACUUCCCAAUUUUCUCUGUUAAACACCAGCUCACAUCCGUACACCAGCCCUUUGAGUGCUGGCAGCUAGCGGCAAGAGGCAUGGCUGGGCAAGAAGGAGAGAGGGAAGUGAAGAGAGGAAGUCAAUAACCAAACAUGACAUUGAGAUCCUUUAAACUGAUGCUUUUAGGAUGAUGCCCAAUGACUUAAUCAAGAAAUCAGAAUUCGAUAAAGCUCCUGGUGAACAUUAUCUGUGCUGUAUGCUAUAUGCUUUUAAAGAACAGGAUUAAAGGGUUCAAAUAUGACUGGGGUACCUUGGGCUCCAGUCCCACCAGUUCCUGUUUGCUACCGAGACUCUCCUCCUUGCCAUUCCCUCCCUCUUUCUCCAGCUUUUUCUUUUAGAGAGAAACGUAGACAAGACCUAUUCCGAAUCAAUGAAGGAGGGACCGCUAAAAAUGUGCCAGCAGAUUCUUCAAUGCACUAUUAUUCUUUGUCAUUUGCAUAAGCAGAAGGAUUUGAUAUCAGCGUGCUAUCUACACCCUCUCUAUCCCCUGUCCUUAGAGCAGCCAUGCCUUUCCAAACCUCAGCCCAACUGUUCAGCAGCUCUCCCCUUGGAACAGCAUUUUCGAACCUGGCUAAUGUCUGUGCUCACUACCCUUCAAUUAUCUCCUGCACCGUAUUAGACAUGCUAUUUCACCUUUCCUUCUAAUCACACUGUAAUCACCAGCCUCUAUACAUUAGCAGCAACCAAGUGAAAAAUCACCGGGAUAAUCACUUGGACCAAAUGACGGGAGAGAUGGUCCCCUGCAUGCACAUGGAUGACAGAAGGAAGAUUAGAGAGAAUUAUGUUUGUGCGCACUCCCUGGCAAGGCUGCUGACAGCUGACCUGGCACCAAUAAUACUAUCAAAUUUACCCGAAGAGGCGAAGGAGGACGUGGGAUAAAACCUUCCAUAUCAUAGCAAGGUGGUAAUAAUACAAAGUAGAUUGACAUUACCAAAACUUAAAAGAGACAGGAGGAUGAAAUGAAUGCUUAUAAUUGGUUUAAAACCAACCAUCUUGCUGGAAAUCCUUUAUUCUGUAGAAGCAGCUGCAGUGAGCCCUGUGUUACGUGCUUCUUCUUUCAGCAUGUAAUUGUAGCUCUUCAGACACCACCAUGUUUUUACAAAAUAACUUGCGCUACACUUUCUCUCUCUUGCUUGUAUCCCUGCUGGGACACCGGCAAAGCACAGUAUUGUUCAGGGCUGAAAAAAUAUUUGUGAAGCACAGUAGUUUUUCAGAUUCUAAAAUGAUGCCCGUUAAAGUGACAGCUUUUUAAAAAUAAAAGUAGGGUAAAACCCAUUCCUCCUCCCUCAGCCCUUGUCGGACGUUAGGUGGAAAUGCAGGAGGCUACAUAAAUUGUAGUGCCGUGAAGUAGGUCAAAACAAAGCCAUGUUCUGCAAACCGUUUGUGCUCAUUAUUCAUGUGAAGCUGAACUAAUCGAUGGGAAAUCUAAUGUUCCAUGAGCAAUGAAAUUUCCUGUGCUUGUCUCGGCCAUCUUUAGAAUACAUUCUGCGAGUGGGGCUCCGUCAGGCUGAACAUGAACCUUGUCUUGUAUCAGAUGCUGUACUAGUUCUUACUGCUAAUGGCAGGUUGAGUCCCCAAUGAGCCAAAACCCAGCCUAGCCUAGUAUCCUGCUGUCUGCUUGGCUAACAGUGCAGUGUUCAUGUAGCAUCUCUGCUAUGCCAGGGCUAAAUUAGGCAUUGUGAAAUCAGCACUUCAACACUUUUAACAAGAGAGGUAAUAACUGUACACCCCAGGGAGGAUGUUACUAAAGUGGCAUGCAUUAAUAACAGAAAUAGCUAUGAAGCUCCGAAACAAGAAAGUAUUGUUUUUAGACCUUUCCAUUCCCCCAUUUAACAGCCUCAGCCUGCCCGGCUCCCAGCCUCAGUCUUGUCUUUAGUCCAGGCCAUGUUUCAGCUCUAAGAGCAGUGACAAAUGUCAACCCAGCAGGCACUCACCAAGCUGUUCCCAAAAUUUCAUUUUUGUCCUCUAAUUUACAAAAAGAAAAUGUCAUUUGGCAACACAGCCUAAAUGAAUUAGUAUGAAUCAAAUUAAUUGUGAGAGUAUAACAUUUAGCAUUCCAGGAAAAACUUACAAGGCAAUGUCAGACACUAUGUCCACACCCUCAAAAGCAUAUAGCUUCUCUUCUCUGUGGCCAUACUGCCUUCAUUUAGCAUCUCACAACAAGUGGUUUGGAGCACAAGUUUAGCCAGUUCUCUUGCACUGAGUAUUCAGACCAUUUGCUUCUCUGCCACUGAUGCAUGUACCCAAUCUGACCCUGUAUCAUUAAAUGAGAAAUUGGGGGUAAAUACAUAAUAUACCCAUUUCCUCUGUUGCCACUACACCACUGCUCAUAAGGUCAGUCCUCUAGAGGAGCAUGUAUCCUUAGAGCGCCCCAGCCAAUGGCGGGCAGAGCAGCAAACUGCUAGAGCAUGUCUACAAGUCUCCAACCCCUUGGGUGCAUAACACUCACCCUAAAAUAGCAGUGAUUUUCAAAGAAAGGAAGUGAAAUGUAAUUGACUGAAACUGGAGAGAUAAUUAAAGGAACCUGUUGGACAGAAGGGAAGAAAUUAAUGCCUCUCAUUUAAUAGCUGCUUUGGAAAAGAGCUUUUCCAUCAUCUCACUUUAGCACAGAGAGGGUUUUGCUGUGGAAAUGGGAUUUUGUAUGGAAAAAGGUGGAGGUGGAAAUAGGCAUUGGGUGGUGGGGGUGCUGUGUGCUAAACUGAAACUCCACAAAAUCACUCCCGAUACUCAGGGCAUCAGGCGCUAUGAUGUCAUGAUUAGUGGAGAGGUUCAGAGCCUUGCCUUACCCUGAUCCUGAGGGAGGUCGAGCAGAAUCACGAAUAUGAGGUCAGUGCUGAAAAACGCGUCCCAUCGUGGGGAUGCUGAGCCAGCAGAAGGGCUGAUGAACCACCUAAAUUGUGCUUUGGAUUUAUAGUAUCACCAUCCAGUUCCAACAAGUAAAAAAAAAAAAAGAUGCCAUCUUCCACCCACAAACGCAGUUAAUCGCUGGAGGUGUGCGAUUAUGUUUAACAACACGGCUGAAAGUAAUGAAGACAAAGACUUUUUUUAUUCCUUAAUGUAAAUAGCCUAUAAAACACAAAACAGAGGACAGUUGUAUAGCAGCUUGUGCUGAGAAGCCCAACUCUGUGGGACAAUGAUGUCACUAUAAAAUGUAUCCACAGAAGUGCAGGGAUCUAGGAGAGAUUUAUUUCUUUUAAGCCCCUAAAAUUUGGGCUGUGAACAUGCAUCCUACAACCCUAAGCAUCGGACCAAGGCUUAGACAGUAUUUGACUUAGUGUCAAACCUAAGGCACAGCCCCAGAGUGAUCCGUUAAUUAAGAUUCUGUGUACACCGACAUGUCAUGAUUUUUUUUCUGACAGAAGAAAGAUCGCCUGUGCGGUAAUUGGAUUAGUCCAAUUGGGGCUGAUGAACAGAUAUGGCAGUGACAGUAGAGUUCGUCCAUCCGCAUGCUUACCGCUUGACAGUGCAACAAAAAAGCAUCAGCCACCACGACAAAGUUCGGGCUUUACAACAUUCAAGGAAAUUAGUUUCACAAAAUGAAACUCCAGGUAACAGUUUGUUCAACAUGUACAUAAAUAACUUUGAAAUCAAACAUUUAAUACACAUGGUUAGGAUGAGAUUGGAGGAAGGGGAGAAACAAGAGAGCUUAUUGUCGACCCCAGCAGAGCCCCCUGCCAGCUUGACCCAAUCUGCCACAGCUCUCCUGACCACACAGCUGCAUAACUCCUGUACAUACAAUAAAGCUUAUUUUUCAAUUCUGUUGAACCUUCUUUAUAGGCCGUACAAUAGAUCAUGUUCAAAUGUUUAAAAAAAUUUAAAGAAUAGUUAAUAUAUUUCAGUGAAACUAAGAGAAGGAACCUAUGACAUAAUUUAUCCAAAACAGAAGAUGAAAUGAUGUUAUUUCUUGUAUAGUGAAGCACUGAUGUUCAAAAAUGGGAUUUUAUACUCAUGUUGGUGAAUGGCUCUUUAUUUUCGCUCUUUUGUUUUGUUAUUAUCUACUGAAGCUGGGAUAGACCCAUUGUCAUGAGGUUUAUUCGGAUAUAUUCUUUGAUCAUUUCUCUUUUGUCUGUAUUUUUUUGGCCACAUAAUCCCUGUAUGAAAUCCCUUGUGGAUGGGCAAGUUCAAAGAGAUUUCUUUGCUCACUAAAAGCUCCUAAAUCAAUACAAGAAUUAACCAACUGCACUGUAAAAGGAUGAUUGAUGGUACUGGUCAUGUGGAUUCAGAAAAAGUCCAUUGCACAACUGAGUUUGAAUGAAUCCGCAUUGCAUGUUCAAAAAGAAUCUCAUUUGAGGCCUUUUGUUGUUUUGAGAAAUAAAAACAAAAAAAGAAAAAAAUAUCAAAUUUUGCAGCCAGAUUGGUUUUGAGACCGAUGCUGUCAUAUCUCAUUGUCUUGAAGCCAUGGAUGUUUUCCUGGAAUGUUCUUCCUCUUGUCUAUCCCUGUCACAAUGUAAUUGUGUUGUUUCUUUUUUGUUUUGUUUUUUUGAAGGGUUGGUGGUAAUCAUUGAUAUAGCUCUGAUUUUCAUCUUCUCUGUUCUUACCUAUGGGAAGUUUCUUCCACAGUUUCUUAUCUAAUGUGACUCCAUCCAUUGAAGACAUUGUACUAACAGUAGAUAGUGCCCCAUUCCUUUACUCCAGUCAGGCUGACUUGUUAAUGUGAGGAGAGAAUUAUGCCUUAAACCCAGCCUAUUCUCUCUGACAGUACUACCUGUGAGCGAGGUCAGAUACACUGUAUUCUGGGGAUGCCAAAUGUUCUAUCUUCAAAAGGUAUAAAAAAAAGAAUCUGUUGUAACACUUCGCCAGAGUCAGUUUUGCCUCAAGCCCAUUCUGACACAAAUAAGGAUGUGGUCAUCCACCUCCAUUUCCAUUGGUUACAAGGACCAAAAUGUAAACAAACUCAGCUAACUGAGCAGUUUGCUCCAAUCAAGCAUUCAAUGAGAGCCUUUAAAGAAUUUACAUUUAGUCAUAGGUGGUUUUGCACCAUUGAUCUUUGUGUCAUGAAUCAUUACAUUCCCAGCUUCACUAUCUCUUCAUUUGUUCUCAUGCAACAUUAAUUAAUCAUAAUAUAUUUGGGUAUUUAUAUUCACAAUAAAUGGAAUACUCUUUUCUUUUAUUAUUUGACAUGAACAAACUGUUUUGUUUUUUGUUUGAAACAGAGAUGUAAUUUGAAAUAGCGUUGGCUCGGGUCCGUUUCGCUGAUUCGGGGUGAUAUCUCCCAUAGUGCUCCUGAACUCUGUAGUUCUCUAGUUCAUUAUAUUCUGCUUAGACUAAAAUAAAGCACAGACCUGUAGAAGA